CUCGUAGGCGGUUUGGUAAGUCGGAUGUGAAAUCUCCAGGCUCAACUUGGAGGGGUCAUUCGAUACUGCCAUGACUAGAGUUCGGUAGGGGAGUGUGGAAUACCUGGUGGAGCGGUGAAAUGCGCAGAUAUCAGGUGGAACACCCGUAGCGAAGGCGGCACUCUGGGCCGGAACUGACGCUGAGGAGCGAAAGCGUGGGGAGCGAACA
rnacentral:rRNA from 1 species